rnacentral:lncRNA from 1 species
UGGCACUUCAGACUUUUUCCUGUUUUGAAAUUUAAAAAAACAUUUAUGAGGAAGAAGUUUUUUCAAUGAUGAGUUCAUUACUGCUGUGGAAUAUUGAUUUACCUCCAAAUCUGACUUCAUACAAAGAUGGGAUUAAACAACUGUUCCUCAGGUUAGAGAAGCGUAUGUCCCUAGCAGGUGGAUAUAUAGAGAAGGAAGAGUUGGAGAACCAUAUUUCAGAUCCCUUGCACAUCCAUAUCAUGAUGAGGGUAACAACUUUUUGGCCUUUCCUCAUAUACAGUAAGCACCGCUUAUUAGAAUCACAUUGGUUGUAGCCAUUUUGAUUUGAUAACAGACGAUUCUACAAUGCGGCGAUUUUAUUACUGCAUUCGUUUUACAGCC